rnacentral:tRNA from 1 species
GUGGACGUAGCUCAGCUGGCAGAGCUCCGGAUUGUGGAUCCGGCGGUCGUGGGUUCAAGCCCCAUCGUCCACCCCA